rnacentral:rRNA from 1 species
UGCGAAGGGGGCUAGCGUUGCUCGGAUUGACUGGGCGUAAAGGGCGCGUAGGCGGUUCGUACAGUCAGACGUGAAAUUCCUGGGCUCAACCUGGGGGCUGCGUUUGAUACGUGCGGACUUGAGUGCGGAAGAGGGUCGUGGAAUUCCCAGUGUAGAGGUGAAAUUCGUAGAUAUUGGGAAGAACACCGGUGGCGAAGGCGGCGACCCGGUCCGAUACUGACGCUGAGGCGCGAAAGCGUGGGGAGCAAACAGG